ACUUCACCACGCUGGCUCAGUGUGAAGUAUUGCCAGUUUACCUGCAUACCAAGGCUUGUUUCCUUGCUGUUGAUGGUUUUUGGAUUGCCUUGACCCUUUUUCUGUACUCUUUGACUCUGCUUCUGGAUCUCCCUUUGGUGCUUUUGCUGGUUUUGAACUUUUCUAGUGUUUUGACCUUCGGACUGUUAUUUGACUCUGAUUCUGGUUUUUGUGUUUUGGAGUAAAUGGGAUUAUGGAUUCUAAUCAGUCUGGAGAGUCUCCCUUACACCUUUGCUUGAACGGAUGAGCAGGUUCUGGUGUCCACAUUUGCAAAGACACUGGUGUUACUAACCUUCAAACAUGUAGACCUGUUGUCUUCAUUACACUGCAGUAAUGACCUUCGCUGACCAUUUUCACAGGUCUCAGCUGAUCAGACUCUUACUUGAACACAUCCACUUUCCCUCUGUUUGUGAAGACGCUCACUGGUGUGCAAUUCUAUUUCUUUUAUUUGACUAUUGUUCGUUCUGUUUUUCAGUUUCUGUCCUGUGUCUUCUCUGUUUUGACCUGCAUUUUGCUUACAGUGUAAAAAGUAAAAAAGGUAUAAAAAUGUAACAUAAGAAAAGCAUUAUGUUUACAGUCUUAACAGUAUGAUUACAUAAACUUGUUAAAUAUGUAAUAAUCAUUGUUUGCAGUAUAAACAGUAAAAUUACAUAAAUCUGUGAAAUAUAACCCAAUAUACCCAAGUUUACAGUGUAAAAAAUAAAUAUGUGAAAUAAAGUGUGGUUCAACUGGU